AGGACGAACGCUGGCGGCGCGCUUAACACAUGCAAGUCGAACGUGAAGCUGGAGCUUGCUCCGGUGGAAAGUGGCGAACGGGUGCGUAACACGUGAGCAACCUGCCCCGAAGACUGGGAUAACACCGGGAAACCGGUGCUAAUACCGGAUACCUUCUUCCGAUCGCAUGGUUGGAUGAAGAAAUGGAUUCCGCUUCGGGAUGGGCUCGCGGCCUAUCAGCUUGUUGGUGAGGUAACGGCCCACCAAGGCGACGACGGGUAGCUGGUCUGAGAGGACGACCAGCCACACUGGGACUGAGACACGGCCCAGACUCCUACGGGAGGCAGCAGUGGGGAAUCUUGCUCAAUGGGCGAAAGCCUGAAGCAGCGACGCCGCGUGCGGGAUGAAGGCCCUCGGGUUGUAAACCGCUUUCAGCAGGGACGAAAUUGACGGUACCUGCAGAAGAAGGCCCGGCCAACUACGUGCCAGCAGCCGC
rnacentral:rRNA from 1 species